rnacentral:lncRNA from 1 species
GUUCAUUUUGGCGCACCCUGUAUAUAGGAGUUAUAAAAGGAAUCUUAAAGAAAAAUUGACAGAACAUAAAAAUUAUAUAAGAGUAGGUUGACUCAUAACCAUACUGGCAAAGUUGUCUAAUGAAAAUGACAAAAUCAUGUAAGAGAAAGUCAACAUUAGAGGAAGGGAGAAUACGAGAAGUUUAAAUAAGCAGGACUUAUAUCUACUUAAAAAAAUUAAGCGUUGGAUGAAAGACUGUAGCAUUAUAAUCACAAGAGAAGAUAAAACUAAAAAGAUGAUGCUAAUCAAAGAAAAAGAGUACAAGCAUUACUUACAAGAAUACAUCGAAGAUUCAUGUCCUACACUCUUAAAGAAAGAUCCUAUCCAGGGUUUGCAGUUAGAGGUCAGUAAACUAUGUAAGGCUAAAGACUUUCCUGAGAUUUGGAGACAUUACAUUAGA